rnacentral:rRNA from 1 species
UGGGGAAUAUUGCGCAAUGGGCGAAAGCCUGAUGACGCAACGCCGCGUGGGGGAUGAAGGUCUUCGGAUCGUAAACCCCUGUCGAAUGGGACGAAAGACUCGCGAGUGAAUACUUCGCGAGAGUGACGGUACCGUUAAAGGAAGCCACGGCUAACUCUGUGCCAGCAGCCGCGGUAAUACAGAGGUGGCAAGCGUUGUUCGGAUUUACUGGGCGUAAAGGGCGCGUAGGCGGCAUGACAAGUCACUUGUGAAAUCUCUGGGCUUAACCCAGAACGGCCAAGUGAUACUGUCGCGCUAGAGUGCAGAAGGGGCAAUCGGAAUUCUUGGUGUAGCGGUGAAAUGCGUAGAUAUCAAGAGGAACACCUGAGGUGAAGACGGGUUGCUGGGCUGACACUGACGCUGAGGCGCGAAAGCCAGGGGAGCAAACGGGAUUAGAUACCCCUGUAGUCCCUGAGCGGGCUGGCAAGGCGCAU